UUCGCCCUUAGAGUUUGAUCCUGGCUCAGGACGAACGCUGGCGGCGCGCCUAACACAUGCAAGUCGAACGAGCGAGAGAAAGCUUGCUUUCUCGAGCGAGUGGCGAACGGGUGAGUAACGCGUGAGGAACCUGCCUCAAAGAGGGGGACAACAGUUGGAAACGACUGCUAAUACCGCAUAAGCCCACGGGUCGGCAUCGACCAGAGGGAAAAGGAGCAAUCCGCUUUGAGAUGGCCUCGCGUCCGAUUAGCUAGUUGGUGAGGUAACGGCCCACCAAGGCAACGAUCGGUAGCCGGACUGAGAGGUUGAACGGCCACAUUGGGACUGAGACACGGCCCAGACUCCUACGGGAGGCAGCAGUGGGGAAUAUUGCACAAUGGGGGAAACCCUGAUGCAGCGACGCCGCGUGGAGGAAGAAGGUCUUCGGAUUGUAAACUCCUGUUGUUGAGGAAGAUAAUGACGGUACUCAACAAGGAAGUGACGGCUAACUACGUGCCAGCAGCCGCGGUAAAACGUAGGUCACAAGCGUUGUCCGGAAUUACUGGGUGUAAAGGGAGCGCAGGCGGGAAGACAAGUUGGAAGUGAAAUCUAUGGGCUCAACCCAUAAACUGCUUUCAAAACUGUUUUUCUUGAGUAGUGCAGAGGUAGGCGGAAUUCCCGGUGUAGCGGUGGAAUGCGUAGAUAUCGGGAGGAACACCAGUGGCGAAGGCGGCCUACUGGGCACCAACUGACGCUGAGGCUCGAAAGUGUGGGUAGCAAACAGGAUUAGAUACCCUGGUAGUCCACACUGUAAACGAUGAUUACUAGGUGUUGGAGGAUUGACCCCUUCAGUGCCGCAGUUAACACAAUAAGUAAUCCCCCUGGGGAGUACGACCGCAAGGUUGAAACUCAAAGGAAUUGACGGGGGCCCGCACAAGCAGUGGAGUAUGUGGUUUAAUUCGACGCAACGCGAAGAACCUUACCAAGUCUUGACAUCCUACGACGCACAUAGAAAUAUGUGUUUCCUUCGGGACGCAGAGACAGGUGGUGCAUGGUUGUCGUCAGCUCGUGUCGUGAGAUGUUGGGUUAAGUCCCGCAACGAGCGCAACCCUUACUGUCAGUUACUACGCAAGAGGACUCUGGCAGGACUGCCGUUGACAAAACGGAGGAAGGUGGGGAUGACGUCAAAUCAUCAUGCCCUUUAUGACUUGGGCUACACACGUACUACAAUGGCGUUAAACAAAGAGAAGCAAGACCGCGAGGUGGAGCAAAACUCAGAAACAACGUCCCAGUUCGGACUGCAGGCUGCAACUCGCCUGCACGAAGUCGGAAUUGCUAGUAAUCGUGGAUCAGCAUGCCACGGUGAAUACGUUCCCGGGCCUUGUACACACCGCCCGUCA
rnacentral:rRNA from 1 species